rnacentral:snoRNA from 1 species
GCCUCCCACAAAGGCGUGCCCGUACCCUGCACUGUGUGGGCACGUAAGAACCGGAGGCAAAGCACUGAAAGUAACGAGUAACGGGACAGCUGCUCCCUGUGCUGCUCCUGUACUUCACUUCCUACAC